rnacentral:rRNA from 1 species
CGGCGCGCCUAACACAUGCAAGUCGAAUGAUUACAUGGCGGACGGCUGAGUAUCACGUUGGUACCUGCCUCAGACUCGGGGAUACCCCCUGGAAACGGGGAUUAAUACCCGAUAGUUCUCUUCGGAGUAAAGCUUUCGCGGUCUGAGAGGGGCCUGCGCCCGAUUAGCUUGUUGGUGAGGUAACGGCUCACCAAGGCAACGAUCGGUAGGUGGUCUGAGAGGAUGAUCACCCAGACUGGGACUGAGACACGGCCCAGACUCCUACGGGAGGCAGCAGUGAGGAAUCUUGCACAAUGGGGGAAACCCUGAUGCAGCGACGCCGCGUGGGGGAAGAAGGCCUUCGGGUUGUAAACUCCUUUUAUUCGGGACGAACAUUGACGGUACCGAAUGAAUAAGGACUGGCUAACCAUGUGCCAGCAGCCGCCGUAAAAC